rnacentral:rRNA from 1 species
AUUGAACGCUGGCGGCAGGCUUAACACAUGCAAGUCGAGCGGAGAGAGGUAGCUUGCUACUGAUCUUAGCGGCGGACGGGUGAGUAAUGCUUAGGAAUCUGCCUAUUAGUGGGGGACAACAUUUCGAAAGGAAUGCUAAUACCGCAUACGUCCUACGGGAGAAAGCAGGGGAUCUUCGGACCUUGCGCUAAUAGAUGAGCCUUUGUCGGAUUAGCUAGUUGGUGGGGUAAAGGCCUACCAAGGCGACGAUCUGUAGCGGGCCUGAGAGGAUGAUCCGCCACACUGGGACUGAGACACGGCCCAGACUCCUACGGGAGGCAGCAGUGGGGAAUAUUGGACAAUGGGCGCAAGCCUGAUCCAGCCAUGCCGCGUGUGUGAAGAAGGCCUUAUGGUUGUAAAGCACUUUAAGCGAGGAGGAGGCUACUUUAGUUAAUACCUAGAGAUAGUGGACGUUACUCGCAGAAUAAGCACCGGCUAACUCUGUGCCAGCCGCCGCGGUAA